rnacentral:rRNA from 1 species
AAUAGGAGUCUGCUUCUAACCGUCUCUUGACCGAGACUAGCGACUUGUGCGCUAACUUUUGACUUGACCUCAAAUCAGGUAG